ACACGAGAGAGGAGGUGGUCUGAAGUUGAUGAACUCUAGGACGCGUGAGGUGGCUGCCCGCUAGCCGCUACCGCUGACGGAUUCACUCCGCGCGAGCGGCGAGCGAAUCCCAGGCAGUUACCCGACCCCCGAGCCCUCGGCCCGUCCGGCCGAGACCUGACAACUCAGGUACGGCUCGGGGGUCGUCCGCU
rfam:Rhodococcus sp. CTA-806 NODE_9_length_318517_cov_4.76936_ID_17, whole genome shotgun sequence.